rnacentral:misc_RNA from 1 species
CACCAAUCAAGCCUGGCUUGGUAUUGGGCGACAGGGCCGUCACACGCCCUCCGCCCCAAUGACUGCCGGCGGGACGGACCGAAUCUCAGCGUUGUGAAUCAAAAGCCGCUGGCGAGACGGGACGGCCGUGCCGUUAAACAACCCCAUCAAA